rnacentral:rRNA from 1 species
UACGGAGGGGGCUAGCGUUGUUCGGAAUUACUGGGCGUAAAGCGCACGUAAGCGGCUUUGCAAGUUAGAGGUGAAAGCCCGGGGCUCAACUCCGGAAUUGCCUUUAAAACUGCAUCGCUAGAAUUGUGGAGAGGUAAGUGGAAUUCCGAGUGUAGAGGUGAAAUUCGUAGAUAUUCGGAAGAACACCAGUGGCGAAGGCGACUUACUGGACACAUAUUGACGCUGAGGUGCGAAAGCGUGGGGAGCAAACAGGG